rnacentral:rRNA from 1 species
GACGAACGCUGGCGGCGUGCCUAAUACAUGCAAGUCGAACGCAGUGGGGACGGGUGAGUAACACGUGGGUAACCUCCCAUCAGAGGGGAUAACACUUGGCAACAGGUGCUAAACCGAUACUGAUGGAUGGACCCGCGGUGCAUUAGCUAGUUGGUGGGGUAACGGCUCACCAAGGCCACGAUGCAUAGCUGGCCUGAGAGGAUGACCGGCCACACUGGGACUGAGACACGGCCCAGACUCCUACGGGAGGCAGCAGGAGGGAAUAUUCGGCAAUGGACGAAAGUCUGACCCAGCCACGCCGCGUGAGUGAAGAAGGUUUUCGGAUCGUAAAACUCUUUUGUUAGGGAAGCGUUAUCUAACCAGAAAGCCACGGCUAACUACGUGCCAGCAGCCGCGGUAAUUC